rnacentral:rRNA from 1 species
CCUACGGGUGGCUGCAGUAGGGAAUAUUGGACAAUGGGCGAAAGCCUGAUCCAGCCAUGCCGCGUGAUAGAUGAAGGCCCUCUGGGUUGUAAAUAUCUUUUAUCUGGGAAGAAACAAUCUUAUUCUUAAGAUCUUGACGGUACCAGAGGAAUAAGCACCGGCUAACUCCGUGCCAGCAGCCGCGGUAAUACGGAGGGUGCAAGCGUUAUCGGUUUUCAGUGGGUUUAGGGGGUGCGUUGGCGGGCUGAUAAAAGCUCCUGGCUUAACUUGGAAACGGCCAUUGAUACUGCCAGUCUUGAAUGUCGUAGAGGUAAGCGGAAUGUUGCAUGUAGCGGUGAAAUGCUUAGAUAUGUUACAGAACACCAAUUGCGAAGGCAGCUUACUAUGCGAUGAUUGACGCUGAGGCACGAAAGCGUGGGGAGCAAACAGGAUUAGAUACCCCAGUAGUC